rnacentral:rRNA from 1 species
UACGGGGGGAGCAAGCGUUGUUCGGAUUUACUGGGCGUAAAGGGCGCGUAGGUGGCCCGGUCAGUCUUUGGUGAAAGCGCGGGGCUCAACCCUGCGUCGGCCAGGGAUACUGCCGCGGCUCGAGCACUGUAGAGGCAGGCGGAAUUCCGGGUGUAGCGGUGGAAUGCGUAGAGAUCCGGAGGAAUACCAGAGGCGAAGGCGGCACCCUGGGUCUGACCUGACACUGAUCCGCGACAGCAUGGGGAGCGAACGGG